GCCUCGAUAGUUCGGUUGGGAGAGCGUUAGACUGAAGAUGUAAAGGUCAUCAGUCCGAUCCUGGUUCCGGGCA
rfam:Angiostrongylus cantonensis strain Taiwan genome assembly, scaffold: ACAC_contig0012882